AAUAUUGGUCAAUGGACGCAAGUCUGAACCAGCCAUGCCGCGUGAAGGAUGAAGGUCCUCUGGAUUGUAAACUUCUUUUAUCUGGGACGAAAACGGGAUUUUUAUCUCAAUUGACGGUACCAGAGGAAUAAGCACCGGCUAACUCCGUGCCAGCAGCCGCGGUAAUACGGAGGAUGCGAGCGUUAUCCGGAAUUAUUGGGUUUAAAGGGUGCGGAGGCGGACUAAUAAGUCAGUGGUGAAAGCCUGCAGCUUAACUGCAGAAUUGCCAUUGAUACUGUUAGUCUUGAGUACAGUUGAUGUAGGCGGAAUGUGUCAUGUAGCGGUGAAAUGCUUAGAUAUGACACAGAACACCGAUUGCGAAGGCAGCUUGCUAAGCUGUAACUGACGCUGAGGCACGAAAGCGUGGGGAGCAAAC
rnacentral:rRNA from 1 species